CGACAGGGGGCGCCCCGCCUCCCCCGGGGCGGAUAAAGGCGGCGGCACCGGCACCGGCACCGGGCGGGAUGGCCCGGGGCGCGCUCCGCCUGCUCUGCUGCGCCGCUGCCCUGCUCGCUGCCGCAGCAACAACUCCAUCCAGUACCUCAGGAUCAGCAACACCUCCAUCAUCUCCAUCCAGCACCACCACCACCACAACAACUCCAUCCAGUACCUCAGGAUCAGCAACACCUCCAUCAUCUCCAUCCAGCACCACCACAACAACUUCAUCCAGUACCUCGAGAUCAACAACAUCUCCAUCAUCUCCAUCCAGCAUCACCACAGCUCCAUCCAAUACCUCGGGAUCAACAUCUUUAUCCAGCACCACCACCACAGCUCCAUCCAAUACCUCGAGAUCAACACCACCUCCAUCAUCUCCAUCCAACACCACCACAGCUCCAUCUUCAGCCAGGACACCUUUGCCACCCUCAUCCAAUGCCACCACCACGGCACCGACUCCAUCCCCCACGAGCGUGUCCAGAUCCACAGAGCAUCCACCCAACUCCACCACACCGCCAGCCCCAUCCUCGGCCAGGCCCUCUGGGCCUGCUUCUCCCACCGUGACCCCCAGAGCCACAGCAGCCCCUGGCAGCUCCGAUCGGCCCCCCACGGAGCUGAGCCCCGCUGCGGUGGCGCUGAUCUCGCUGGCCGUGUGCCUGCUGGUGGCGGGGGUGGCCGUGCUGCUGGUGCGGCGCUCCCGGCGCGGGACCCCCCCCUUCCAGCACCUGGAUGAGGUGCCCAUGGUGCGUGGGGGGGGGACCGGGGGGUGCCGAGGGGGGAUUUGUGGGGGGCAGCAGGUCCAGGAUGCAGGCG
rnacentral:lncRNA from 1 species